UACAGAGGGGGCAAGCGUUGUUCGGAAUUACUGGGCGUAAAGGGCGCGUAGGCGGCCUGCUAAGUCGAACGUGAAAUCCCUGGGCUCAACCUGGGAAUUGCGAUGGAGACUGCAAGGCUAGAAUCUGGCAGAGGGGGGUAGAAUUCCACGUGUAGCAGUGAAAUGCGUAGAGAUGUGGAGGAACACCGAUGGCGAAGGCAGCCCCCUGGGUCAAGAUUGACGCUCAUGCACGAAAGCGUGGGGAGCAAACAGG
rnacentral:rRNA from 1 species